rnacentral:snRNA from 1 species
UUCUUCCCAACACACACAAAA